rnacentral:pre_miRNA from 1 species
CGUGUGCCACGCUCUGGAAGACUAGUGAUUUUGUUGUUGUAAAUUUGUGUUUUUGACAACAAGUCACAGUCUACCUCAGUGCUUCACACC